rnacentral:lncRNA from 1 species
GCUACUGGCAUGUUUGCAAAAUAGCACAAGGUGCUGUAAAAUGAAGAUAUAUUGUUAAAUAUCAUGAGAUAGAAAUAAAAGAUGAAGAUCUAGCUGUACCCGUCCCGAGCCACACUACUGCAGCCACGUUGCUGCUGGCAUUUUUGCAAAAUAGCACAAGGUCACAACAAUUGAUGUAACAAAUAUAAUCAAUGGACCAGGCACCUGCACCAUGAUUCUUUGGAAUACUAAAAUUCGUCUCUUUGUCUGUACUUCUCAUAACGAAAAAUGUCACGUUUUUAUGAAAGAAAUAAUGGAAUCAAAUAAUAAAUAAAACAAGCAUAUGCUGGAAGUCCUCA